rnacentral:rRNA from 1 species
GAUGAACGCUGGCGGCGUGCCUAAUACAUGCAAGUCGAGCGAACAGACGCGGAGCUUGCUCCUCUGACGUUAGCGGCAGACGGGUGAGUAACACGUGGAUCACCUACCUAUAAUACUGGGAUAACUUCGGGAAACCGGAGCUAAUACCGGAUAAUAUAUUGAACCGCAUGGUUCAAUAGUGAAAGACGGUUUUGCUGUCACUUAUAGAUGCAUCCGCGCCGCUUUAGCUAGUUGGUAAGGUAACGGCUUACCAAGGCGACGAUGCGUAGCCGACCUGAGAGGGUGAUCGGCCACACUGGAACUGAGACACGGUCCAGACUCCUACGGGAGGCAGCAGUAGGGAAUCUUACGCAAUGGGCGAAAGCCUGACGGAGCAACGCCGCGUGAGUGAUGAAGGUCUUCGGAUCGUAAAACUCUGUUAUUAGGGAAGAACAAAUGUGUAAGUAACUAUGCACGUCUUGACGGUACCUAAUCAGAAAGCCACGGCUAACUACGUG